GGGGAAUUUUCCGCAAUGGGCGAAAGCCUGACGGAGCAAUACCGCGUGAGGGAUGACGGCCUACGGGUUGUAAACCUCUUUUUUCAGGGAGGAAACAAAUGACGUUACCUGAAGAAUAAGCAUCGGCUAACUCCGUGCCAGCAGCCGCGGUAAGACGGAGGAUGCAAGUGUUAUCCGGAAUCACUGGGCGUAAAGCGUCUGUAGGUGGUCAAAUAAGUCAACUGUUAAAUCUUGAGGCUCAACCUCAAAAUCGCAGUCGAAACUAUUAGACUAGAGUAUAGUAGGGGUAAAGGGAAUUUCCAGUGGAGCGGUGAAAUGCGUAGAGAUUGGAAAGAACACCGAUGGCGAAGGCACUUCACUGGGCUAUUACUAACACUCAGAGACGAAAGCUAGGGUAGCAAAUGGGAUUAGAUACCCCAGUAGUC
rnacentral:rRNA from 1 species